ACAUUGAAAAAGCAAGCCAAUAUGUUUUUCCUGAUCAAAAAAAUACAAAGAGUGAGAAAAUGAGCAAUUCUCGCUGAACUCUUCCUUUAAAUUAGCCAACUGACUGAUUAGAAAUUUGAAGAAAACAGUCGUUAUUAAACAGGACACACCUUAGUUAAAAAUUACUCGCAGCUUUCCUUCAUUUUUCUCCAGGCCUGUUUCAGACUUUUAUUAUUACCGUAUUUUCACGACUAUUCGACGCACUGUACCAAUGGCCGCAGUCUCAUUAAUGGGUGACAUUUCUGUAUUUUACACAUACACAGGACGCAUCGUACUAAUGGCCGCAGUUUUACAGUGGUAAAACAUACGCCAGCUUAAACAUACGGCAUGCAUGCGCGCACUCUAACACGUUAGCUUGAAGCAUACGGUAGCACGCCAAGACAUACAGAUAAGCUAAAUACACGUUUUUAAAAAGGCAACGAAAGCAGAACUGAGAUCGGGUGGAUUUUAUUUAGCCAUCGUACAAUGUUCUCACGUUUUCGAUCAAUCAUCACCCAGAAAUCCAUCAAAGUCCUCAUCCUCUGUAUCAGAAGCAGAGGACUGCACAUCUCAGUUGUCAUUGAAUGCAUCACAUGCUAGUGUGAGUUGCUACGCAUUGCCGAGCGGAAAGAAGGAGUAGCAACAGCAAAGUCAACAUUUCUCUCGUGUGAAGCUUUCCCACAUUUGAAAGUAAAGAACAGAGCGAAACAUGGUGGCAGCGCGUGUGUGUGUAGAAAGAAUUGAACAAUUGUGCAAGUACCGUAAUCCAUCAAAAACGCCGCGUUCCCUCUCGUUGUUGCGUAUUGUGGCGUAACUCGCCAAGCGCUGCCUCUCGCUCUUUGUAAAGUUGUGUUUGCCACCGAUCGUCCAUUGUUCCCAUGCCGUUCGCAACUUUACUUUGAACGCCCGGUUGAUGCCAAUGUCCAGCGGUUGGAGUUCUUUAGUCAAGCCUCCGGGAAUAACGGCAAGCUCAGAGUUCAUUUGCUUGACUUGUUUUUUUCACCGCUGCUGUGAGAUGGGCACGCAUGCCAAAAGCAUAACCGGUGGCUUUAAGUUUGAACUGAGCUUCGUAGGCGUGUCUUUUUGUCGAAUUUAUUUUCAGGGGUUCUUAGAAACCAAAACCGGAGUUGUUUUGCAACAAUGCACAUUGCCACACUCUAUACAAGUGUUGGUACUGGCUUGAGGCGUCCCUUUAGCGUCCAACACGCCCACCCUUCACCAUUGGCGGACUAGGUUGCCUGUCCUCUCUCUCCCUCUCCCUCUCUCUCUCUCCCUCUCCAUAUAUGUAUAUAUACACGCCCACCCUUCCCUGAUUGGCCAACUUCUUUCCGCAUGCCCGGCCACAGUCACUUCCGCCUUUUCUCUAUAUAAACAGCGUGUCGGCCGUCAGUCAGAUUUUGGAACUCAGCGCAUAUAAAGGACGCUCCGCACCAUAAGGCGUCCUGUCCAUUUUGGAGAAAAUUUAAGACUUUUAAUGGCGCCUUAUAGUCGUGAAAAUACGGUAAUUUAGUUGACAAUUCAAAUGCAAUGCCUCGUUUUCAUUGUUUUAUUUUGAUGUAUUACUACUUUUGCCACUCUGGAUUUUUCCUUCAAAUUUGUCCACAUGUGGACAAGCCAAAUAUCAAUAACUCCAUGUCGACGAAAGAACAAUUGAAGGAAUAAGUGUCAAGAACACAACAUGCAUGUUUUCUCCUAUGAUAUUCACCUUGAGGCGGGGAAGUUUGAGGAAGUCAUCCUGUU